UGUGGGAGCGGGCUUGCUCGCGAUGCAAACAACACGGUACAUCCGGAUGACCGUGGUGCUGCAAUCGCGAGCAAGCCCGCUCCCACA
rnacentral:misc_RNA from 1 species